rnacentral:lncRNA from 1 species
AUACAAUUUACUUAUUGUUUAAACAAACAGAUUGUAAAUAUAAAGAGAGAAAAAAAAAAAAAAAAGAUAUGAAGUUAGCGAUUUGUAUACUAAUGGAACUUCACUGAGGUCAGUUCUUCCAAAGGCAUGAAAUGCAAGCCGGUAAACAAAGAAUCAGCCAUAGAUAUUAUUUUUGGAAAUGUAUGACCAAAGAGAUAACUAAUUACAUACGUAAAUGUCAAAAAUGCCAAAAGUCGAAAACGACUAAACAUACCAAACUCCUUUAACAAUUACGGAAACCCCCCAAAUGGCUUUCGAUAGGGUAAUAGUAGAUACGAUCGGUCCACUCCUAAAUCAGAACAGGGAAAUGCAUAUGCAGUCACUUUAAUCUGUGACUUGACGAAAUACCUAGUUGCCAUCCCAAUUACAAAUUAAAGCGCAAACACUGUAGCAAAAGCUAUCUUUGAAGAAUUUAUUCUGAAGUACGGUCCAAUGAAGACGUUCAUUGAGCCUUUCCGUCGACAAGAUUUUGGCAUUGCAAGAAUCUUGUCGCAGACGUAUUUGAUGAUAAUGAGAGAAAAGAAAUCAUCACGGUAGAACACAAUCGAGCUCAUAGAGCCGCUCAGGAAAAUGUAAAACAGGUUUUGACCGAUUACUAUUUUCCCAAAAUGACUAAACUGGCAAGCGAGGUAGUCAUGAACUGUAAGAUUUGCUCCCGAGCAAAGUAUGACAGACACCCUAGGAAACAGGAACUAGGCACGACGCCAAUUCCGUCAUGCACGGGAGAAAUGCUGCAUGUUGNU